rnacentral:lncRNA from 1 species
UUCAGCAUUUGGAAGUGAAGCUUCGUUUGAAAGCGUUGUAAGGCAACAAACUAUGAAUAUUGACCCAAAAACAAGUCGAAGAAACAACAUAUUGGAAUGUUUUUGGAGCGGAUUCAAGAGUUUUUUUUUUUUUUUUGGCUUGAUAUGAAUGAACAAAAAAUGGGUUGCAAGAUUGGGUUUCAUAAAUAUAUUGGAUUAUGAGAGUUGGAAUUUUCUUUGAGAUGAUUGAAAAUAAAAGAAAGUUGGAAGUUUCCUAUCUUUUUGCUCCGAAAUUGCAAAUUACUUUGAGAUGAAAGACAAAUAAAUGAAAGUUGGAAAUUUCUUGAGAUGAAGAAAGAAAAAGCAUGACGAAAAUGUGUGGCUGCCUGUGGAGAAUAAAAGAAAAAGAGACUCAAUGUUUUUGCAUGACCAUUCAAAUGAUACUUUAUCAUAAUGACAAGUUAAAAAAUAUCUUGCAUGGGAAGUUAUUAGUUGAGUAUAUUAAUUACAAUAUUAAUACAUAUAAUAUAUAUAGUCUAACUUUUUCUAUAAUAACCGUUAUAAUAGCAUUUCCUUAUAGCAAUCAAGUUUUUAGUAAAUAAAUUUGAUUUUUUAUAUUAUAUUUUAAUAAUUUAUAAUAACUUUUUACUUAUAAAAAUAAUAUCCAUAUUUAUUAAGUACAAUUUUUAUUAAAUUAUUUCUUUAUAACUACAUAUUGUCUAAAAAUUUAAGUAAAAUUAUAACUAUAUCAUAUCAGCAAGCCUAUUAAUUAUAAUUUUAUUAUUUUAAUAAAAUAUUUCAAUUUCAUAUGAAAAAUCUCUAAAAUUUUAAUCAUAUGUUAUUAAAUGAAAAUAAUCUUUAAUGAGUCAAUUCAAUAAAUUAUUGAGUUUUCUAAUUAAAUAUUCUACUAUAAAUUUGAAAUAUCAUACACUUAAUUGAUUACUUGAAUUUAAUAACUUAUGAUAAAUUAAUUAAUUCAAUGUAAUAACUCAUACUAAUCAGUUGAACUUCAUAAAUAAUCAUAUAUAAAAUGUAAAAUAAAAUAUACAUUAAAUUAAUAGUGCAUGCACCUACAAUAGUUUUUUUUUUUAAUUUUUAAUUUGAUUUUCAAUUUCUUUCUUUUUUUCAUAUAAUUCUCACUUUUCUUUUCUUUUAUUGAAAUUCAAUAUAUGAAUUCUUUUAUAGAUUUAUAGCAAUUAUAUUUCUAUAACAUAUUAUUAUAGGUAUAUAUAACAAUCGCCUCUAUAUAAUAGGCAAAAUAUUGGCAGAUAGAUAGAUAGAGCUAAUAUACAUAUACUAUUAUAGGUAUAUGUAUUAGUUCAUACAUCAAGCAUGUUGGUAUAGAUAUAUAACAAAUCACCUCUCUAUAAUAGGUAAAAUAUUGACAAACAGAUAGAGCUAUUAUAGUAGCUGUUGGUAUUGCCUCACACAUCGACACCACCACCCCUCAUUAUUACCCAACCAUUGAUUUAAAAAAAAUUUGAGGGCGGCAGUAGUAUGUAUUUUUCAAAAUACCUGUGAAAAAUAUGAGUAUUCAUGGUGAAAAAAAUUAUCUUUUUAAUAGAUUUCGCUGGUGUGUGAGGCGGCACCAGCCAAUUUUUUAAAGAAAAUAUUCUUAUUUUUAAAAAUACAUCAAAAGAAAAAAAUACAAAAAAAAAAUAUAGGGCGAUCCAGUAGUACCACAUUAAUUUUUUAAAGGUUUUUUUUAGUAAUCUGAUCUUGUAAAUUUAAAAAUGAUAAAAGUAACCUAAUGUCAAGAUUAGUUAUAGAAAUGACCUGAUUUCUAUUUUUUUAAGCGACCAAAACAACUAUUUCUUUUUAUGUGGUUGAACAAAUUGAUGGCAUAGGAUUAAAACGUAGAGGAACAAAAUGUUGAAGAUUAUAGAAAUCAAGUCAUGCAUAUAAUUAAUCUUAAAAUUAGAUAUUUUCUUAAUCUUUUAAACUUACUGAUUUCGAAAAAGAGGCAUUUUUAAAAGAAUUGAUCUGUUCAUAAAAUAAAUGCUGCCUCCAAAGCUGACUUUUAGCACUACUGAUAUCUGGCUGGAUUUUUAAUUUUAAUUUUCUUAAAUAAUAAAGAUUGAGUUUUCGUAAAUACAUUGAACUAUGAGGGUUUGAAAUUUCUUAGAGAUGAUAGAAUAUGAAAAAGGUUGAUUGUUGCAUCGCAAAUUUAUGUGAUUGGAUGUUUUUCAAUUUGGAACACUUGAUUGUGUUGGCAAAUUGUUAAAUAAAAUUUGCAUGAAAUGAAUUAAAAAGAUCAAAUCAUUUACCAUUAAUUUUAAACAAAAGAUUUUAUUUGUUGAGUUAUAAAAUUUUUAAAUUUAUUAAUUUUAUUAAAAAUCAAAUUUUAGUUCAAAUAACAUUAUAAAAUUUGGGUGAGAUUAUAUAUAAAAAUAAAUAUUAUAUAAAAAUUAGUAAAAUUUAAUUCUGUAUUUAUAAUAAAAAGCCCCAAACAAUGAGCUGACAACUUUAUAGCAGGAAGACUAAUCCUAGAUAAGGACAGGUGUCAAUAAUUUAGCAAUUUGGUACAUUCUGUGAACCACAUUCGGUUUCUUAAAUAUUCCAUCAAUCGAAUUUCUCUCUUAUUUCUCUUUUUUAUCUAUCUUUUUUUAAAAAAAAAUUAAAUGUCCUCAUAACCCCAAUCAAAUUUUAUUAAGGAUAAUUAUAAUUAUCGAAAAAAAUUCUCUCUUAUUUCUCUUUUUUAUCUAGAAUAAUUAUAAUUUUAUUAUAUUUACAGAGACAGUAUAGAACUAUAAUUAUAAAAUCUUUCAAAAAUUACUAUAAAUAUAGUUAAUAUGUUAGACAUUAUUUGAAUAAAAAAUUAUUUUUUUGAAAAAUAAAUAAAAUUUAUUUUCAGUUAAAAACAGUUUUUACAAAAAUACUUUUUGGUAAAAAAAACUUUUUGGAUUAGUUCAUAGAGGCCUUUCUAUUUUUGGUAUUGCAAGGGAAUAAAAGAAAAUAAUAAAUAAGGAUGGAUUAUAAAGCAAUUUACUUUAUUUAAAAUUUGGUGCUGCCAGCACCCUAAAAGUUUUUUUCAAUACCCAAUUCAAAUGAAAAUUUUACAUAUUAUAUAUCUGAAUAUUUUAAGUUAUCACAUUUUAAUCUGGUGCCAUUAACAUGUCAGGCAGUAGCAACAAAACACGGUAACAAACAUACAUUUGAGGAAUUAAAGAUUUUUAUUAUUAUUUAAAAUAUAAGUUAAUAUUUGAUAUAUUAUAAAAAUUAUAUAAUACCGUAAAAAAAUUCAAAUUUUGUCAAGUGCCAUUUUCUUAUUUAAUAUUUUUGUAUAUAUUUUUACUCGAAAAACUUAGAAUUUAUAUAUCUAUAUAGAAUGAAGGUCCAAAACACUUCCUUUUACUCAAACCUGAUCAACCACCCAUGCUUUGGUUAAGUUUAGUUUUGAUACCUUUAAUAUAUCUAAAUUUAAUAUUUAAUUUAUAAUAUAAUUCCAUUCAUCUAUUUUUAAAAUAUUAUUAAUUCAUUAUUUGAAUACAUUAAAAGUCUUAAAAGACUUGAGAACAAGUCAAUCAUUUCCUAGAAAUCAAGCUUACUCCUAGCAAGCCAUAAUCACCACAAAGUGGGGCUAUUUUAUCCAUUUAACCCAAAAAAACAAUAUUUAUAAAAAUGAAUCUGGUUCAAAAAUAUUCACUAAAAUGACUUGAAAUGAACAGUAAAUUUGAGUUAUGAGAACUUAAUGGCCGACAUCCUAUUGUAUUUUGACCCUAUGAUUGCUUGAUGAUUGUGUUAGGCUUUAAUUUUUUUUUUUUGGGGGAUAUCAAUGGCCAGCAUCAAGGAAUUUUUUUAAAAUCGUAUCAUACUGGUAUACUCAAAAACCAGUAUUUGAAAACAAAAAUUUGGGACCUGGCCAUCUAAUGGCCGGCACCAAAGUACAAUAAUUUUUUUUUGUGUUCUGACCAAUAGAUAGCUGGCACUAAUACUUUUUUUCAAUUCUCAAAUUUUUUUUUGUUUUGGAACACUGAUGAUCGACACCACCUUUUUCAGGUCUCAUUUUUUUUUGGUACACUAAUGGCCAGCACCAACUUUAUCAAAUUAAAAAUAUUUUUUUUGUUUUGAGACACUGAUGACCAGCACCAACCUAAUAUACAUAUACCCAAUAGAUUUUGAGCCUUGAGCACUCUGAUACAAAACAAAGUUUACGUUAGGGUGCUAAAAUCUAUAAUGAAAAACUGAGAAUUUUUAAGUAACAAUAUGAUCUUUUUAACCUUGAUUAAAAUUGUAUAAUAUGCACCGUUUAGUAGUGUAUAUAAAUUAUUAUUUUUCAAGGGUCAAGUUAAUUACGUAAAAAUAAUUUGAUGUUGUCUAAGUAAAUUCUUGGGUUGAAGUGUUUUGGAUAAAUUAGCAUUAGUAGGGUGUCUAUUGCUUAAAAGUAUAAUGUGACUCAACUUUGGAUAUAAUUAAUACUCAAUGUAUUUAGAAGUAAGAUUGAGGUUAAAAUUUAUUGAUAAAAUCUUAACUUAAUUUGUAUGGGCAUUAUUGCUAAUACAAAAAAAUCUGGGCUCAAGUGCGGUGAAGCAUAUUAUCCUCUUAUAGGUUAUAGGUAAGUUUAGAUAUGAUAGAGUUAAAAAUUUUAAGGUAAAAAGGUGAAGCUUCUUUUAAAAGAGAAAAACCAUUAAAAGCCUUUUUUUCGAUUAAAAAUUUUAAAUUGAAUGUUUUAUUUCAUACGAAAUAUUAAAAAGUAAUAUUCUCAUUUAAUUAAACAAUUAUUAUAUGUAAAUUUCAAAUUAAACUACUAAAAGAAUAUUUAUGCUAAAAAAACCUUAUCAAAAUGAUACAAAUCGUAAAAUAUACACGAAACUUUUAAAAAAAAUUAAUAAAAAAAGUUUAAUUACAAUUCAAAAAGCAUCAAAUUCUAUUCUCACGCAAUAUUUUUAGUUAAAGAUAAUGUUAAAAUUAAAAUAAAUUUUAAACAAUAAAUAACCCCAUAAAAAAAUACGUAGAGAUGAAAUUAUAAACAUACUUUUUUUUAUAUCUAAAUCUUACUUUAGUAUAUAUAUAUAAUAUGAGUAAUUUAUAUAAAAUUUUAUACAUUUUAAAACUUAAUUCAAAAUAUUUAAUUCAAAAUAUAAAUAUAAUUACUUUCCGUAUUUUUUAAUCAUAAAUAGUAUUAACAAAAAUAAUAUAUUUAACUAAAUUAUAAAUAUAUUUAAAAAACACGUGGCAUUUAUAUAUAUAACAUAUAUAUUAUUUAACAACAAAGUAAAUGGAUAUUAAAGUAAAAGGCUUCGAUUCCCUUGAAUACUCAGUAAAGUCCUUACCAGAAAAACGUAGAUAAUAACAUUCAACUAGCAAUCUAGAAUUAACACAUAUGUUUUAAUUAAGUUUUUAAUUUUCGUUAUUUAGAAUUUUUAUGUAUACAGACUACUUUCUUUUUAAUAAUUAUAUUCUAUAAUAAUAUUUUAUUAUAACAAUUAAGUUUAUUGUAGAAUCUAUUUUUUAUGUUUUAUUAUUUUUUUAUAAUAUUUUUUUAUAAUAAUAACCAUAAAAUAAAAACUACACUAUUUACUAAUUUAUUUUUUUGUAACUUCUUAUCUUAAAUUUUAUUAGAAUUAGUUAAAUAAAAAUAAUAAAAUUUAGUUAAGAUGUUGUUUGAAUAAAUUUCUAAAAUUUUAUAUAAAAUAUAUUAUCCAGAUUUUAUUAAGCAAAAAAAAUUUUAAGAAAUGAAAUUACAUUAAUAAACUAUUCAUUAAUGUUUGUAAUUACGAUUUUCUUAGUUAGUUUAGAUAUUUGUCAGUUCAUUAUCGAUAUUCAAACUAUACUUUUUCAUAGUAUUUUAAAGAUACUAUUUUUAAAGUUUUAUAUAAAAAUAUAUUAAUAAGAUUUAUUAAAUUAAAAUAAUUUUUAAUAAAUGAAAUUACAUAAUAUAAAUGUCACUGCUUCAUUUUAUUAAUAUAUUAUAGUUUUUAAUUUGAAAUUUAAAAAUUCAAAUAUGAUUUGAAUCUCAAAUAUUAUUAAGGUAUUUCAGAAAUUGUUAGAUGCGGAUAAUUACCAACUUUAUAUACAAUCCAAAGUUUUUGGUAAAUAAUUAUUAUUGUUAUAGAAUAAAUUGACUGCAUAAUAUCAUAUCUUAAACAUGAUAAUUAUGUGCCUAUGUAAUAAGGUACCUUCAAUUGAUAUCAUCUCAUAUUUGUUAAAACUUGAAUUGCAUAUGCCUCUCUUGAUAAAUUUAGAUCAUAUGAUUAAAAAAACCAUAUAAUCCAUAAACUAGUCUAACAAGUUUGUACAUAAUACAAUGGUGCAUAAAUUUUCUUUUUAAGAAAUAUAUAUAUACUUACAUUUGGACGAGUACAUGAUAAAUAGUGUUAUUGUUGAAGGAGCAAUCACAUACAACAUUAUUAGCAUAAUAGCCAACCAUGGCGUUGACUGCAUGGAUCAAUACCAAAGUCCCACCCUGUCUUCCCCAAUGUUUUACCAAUGCUUUUCAAAGCUUCCACCGUAACAAAAAACCAAUAAGAGAAAUUUACUAGAAAAAUUCACCAAAUUAAGGUUGGAAGCUUAAUAUUAUGAGUUACCUUCGUCAUUGUAGCUCCAUCUGUAAGCGUUGUAAGGCAACAAACUAUGAAUAUUGACCCCAAAACAUGUCGAAGAAACAACAUAUUAAAGGAAUAUAUAUAUUUUUGGAUUGAUACGAAACUGGGUUUUCAUAAAUAUAUUGGACUAUGAGAGUUGGAAUUUGACUAUAUAUGAAAGUUGGGAAAAGGAAUUUCUAAAAGGAAGUUGGAAAUUUCUUUUAGAUGAAAAAUGAAAAGCAAGAUGAAAAUGAUUUGGCUGCCUACGGAAAAUAAAUGAAAAGGGAGAGGUAAAGUGAACACUAAAACAAAGGUUCAAUUAUUGUACUGUGAUUGGGUGUUUUCGUACGACUUUGCAAAUGAUAUUACCCAUCGGAAUUUAAUGAAAUGGGGAUGGUUCACUACAGCAAAUUAAACCUUUAUUGUUAAGUAGAUUAAUUUUAAAAUAGGAAUAUAUUUUUAUUUUUAUUUACAAUUUCAUUUUAAAUAAGAAUAUUAUGGACUGAUCCAAGACUAAUUUAAUAAUUAAAAAUUAAUUAAUUAUAGUGCAUAAUUUAAUUCCAGCGACUCAAGUAGAAGAAUAGGGAUAGGGAUAGGGACCUUUGACAGAAAGCUAGUUCAGACAAAUGACUUGAGUGACGACUUUAUAGCAGGAAGACAAUUGUUAUAAGGACAUGUGCAAUUAAUUUAACAAUUUGGUAGGGUAUCAAAUUAAAUCAAAUGAAUAUUUUAUAAUUUUAUAAAGUUUAUUUUUUUAUUUUUACUUAAAUUAAAAUUUUUGAAUCAUAUUAAAUUAAGUAAAAUAAAAUUCGAAUGCAAUUAAAUAAAUUUAUUUGAAUUAAAUUAAAAAAAUUAAACUAGUCAUAGGUAAUUUAACUAAAAUUCAAGUUAAACAACAUAAAAUAUAUAUUUUUACUUUAUCAUCUAUAUACUUAUAUAUAUAUAAAAGGACGACGACACAUGGACACACACUCAUGCUCCAUUUUUCUUUUUCAUUUUACAAUAUAGUAACUCUAAUAUGUCUAAAUUCGAAAUAUUUUAAUUUUUAAUAUAAUUUGAUCUUUAUAUUUUUAAAUUAGUCUAAAUAGUCAAUGUAAUUAAUUUUUCUUGUGUUGUAGUAGCCAUCAUGAAAAUAAUGAAACUUUAAAAUUGUCAGUGCAAAACUUCGUUGAGAAAAAUCUCAAACAGACAAAUAGAACGCAUGGGCACCUUCGUCUGGAGUUCUUCCACGUGGGGUUCCUAUGGGAGAUGAUGCACCUAAUGAAGGAUUUGGUGAUUCAGAUGAACAUAGUAACGAGAAUAAAUGUAUUCCUCCUGAUGAGGUACCAUCAAACCCUUCUCAUGAAAUUCCUAAUCGAAGAAAGCAAACACUUGGGGCUGUAUACGGUAAAGGAAAAAAUCAAGUUCAAGUAGAAAAUCAUCAAGAAAUUCAUUAACUACUCAGAUUGAGAAAUUGUGUGAGAGUAUGGCUAGUCCAAGGAAGUCAGUGAAUGAAAUUAUUUUUCCUCACUCUCAAUAUACCAUUUCAAAUGCAAUGGAUGCUUUGCGUGCUUUGGGAGAUGAAAUUCCAAAAAAAGAUGAACUGUACUAUUUUGCCACCAAAAUGUUCCAAAUACCGGUGAAACAAGAAGUGUUUUUGAACUUAGAUCCAGAUGAUAGGGUUUGGUGGCUUCGACGUGAGUAUGCUGAACAAAAUCCAAUUGCAUCAUUUUCAUCCUUGGUAGCAAUAUCCUCAUUUCCCUUCCAACCAUACUAUCAACUACCUCCACCAUAAGCUCCUUAGAAUUAUUAUAAUAUAACUAUACUACUUUUUUAUAUGUAAAACUAAUGUAUGAUCCUUUUUAUGUUUUGUAUUUUUAUACUAUGCUUUUAAUUAAGUUUCUGUGUUGUAUAGAAUGUCACGAGAUUUAAAGAAUUUAUUUUCAUUUGAUUACUUUUUUAAGUUAUAGAUGAAUUUAACAAUAUGUAUAAUAGUUUUGAUAUGAAUUAUGAUACCCCUGAAUUAAGUGAAGAAGCUCAACGAAGAAUAGCCGCAAUUGUUACCCAAGUUGAGAACAACAAUUAUCAUGAAGAGGAAGAAUAUGUGUUAAGCAAUGUAUUGGUACACCAUGAAACUUAUUUCACUAUGCAUGUAACAGCUCGAUUUUGGGCCUAGUUGAAAUAGUGGUUUCGGGAUCACAAAUUCCAUGAGGAAAAUUUUUAUUUUUAUUAUAUUUUUAUGGUCUAAAAUUUUACGGAAUAAUUUUUUGAAAAUUUCGUUCAAAAAUUUCGACGUUUGGGCACUCAAUUUAGCCAAAAGGACUAAAUUGUAAAAAGUGCUAAAGUUGAGUUCUAUAUGUUAGGAGUGUCUAAUUAUUAUGAAAUUUUAAAUUGGAGGUUCUUAAAUGGUAAUUAGACCAUUGGUUAUCUUAUGGACAAAAAUGGACAUGAAAUAGGUGAAAUAAGAUAUUUUUGAGUUAAGGGUAUUUUGGUAAUUUGGUAAUUAAAACAUAUUAAAAAGACAAAAUAAGCCAAAUUUUCAUCAUCUUCUCCAUGGGGCUGGACGAAUGUGAUAUGAACUCCAUGGCUAGGGUUUGCUCAUCUUCCAAGCUUCAUGGUAAGUCUGUUCUAGCCCCGUUUUUUUUUUCUUUAUAUUUUUAGAAUCUCGGUAACUAGCUUAAGCUACUUUUACCAUUAAUUUGAGCUAGAAUUUAUGUUUGGAAAAUUACCCAUAGAUGAAAAGCGUGAAAUUUUGAUGUUUUAUGAUGGAAUAUGAAGCUUAGAAUUGUGUUAUACGAUUUUCGCUAAGCGAUUUUCAGUGAAACCGAGUAAAUUGACAUAAUCUAUAAUAAUACUAAAUGUUCAUAAGUGCACUAUAGAGCAAGAAUUUGGGGUAGUCAUUGGAGGAAAAAAUGUUUAGCAUGUCAUAAAACAUAAAAAAAGGAAUAAAGUUUAAUUUCCGAGCCUAGGGGUAAAAUCAUAAUUUUGUGAAACUUUAGGGGCAAAAAUGUAAUUGUUUCAAAAUAUGAUUUUUGGACUGGAUUGAAUAAUGUGAGUGUUAAAUAUGUUAUUAUAAGUUAAGAAAGACAUGAAAUUGACCUUGAUUAGUAAAAAAAUGAGAUAAAGUGAGAAAUUUUCCGAUUGAAUAUUCGAAAUAAAAAGGGAUAUGAAUGAAGUGACAGAAAUGCUUACACAUGUGGCACGGACUGUGUGUAGGCCACUAUAUGAAAGUGAAAGUGAUGGUCUCGUGUGUAGUACUAUGUGUAGGCUACUACGUGUACUGGAACGAAAGGUCACAUGUGUAGUACUAAGUGAAGGCUACAAUGUGUACCGAGAAGCUUUGGUCACGUGUGUAGUACUGUGUAAAGGCUACUACGUGAAUCGGUAAAUAAUGGUCACAUGCGUAGUACUAAGUGAAGGCUACAAUAUGUACCGAGAAACUUUGGUCACGCGUGUAGUACUUUGUGAAGGCUACUACGUGAAUUGAUAAAUGAUGGUCACAUGUGUAGUACUAAGUGAAGGCUACUAUGUGUACCGAAAAGCUUUAGUCACGUAUGUAGUUCUAUGUGAAGGCUACUACGUGAACCGUAAAACUUGAUCACGUGUGUAGUACUAUGUGAAGGCUACUACGUGAACCGUAAAAAUUGAUCACGUAUGUAGUACUAUGUGAAGGCUACUACGUGUAUCGAAUGAUAAUAGUAACAUGGGUGGUACUAUGUGAAAACCCCCAAAUAUUUGUUGUUAUACUGACAUGUUUAACAAGAUAUGAGUAUGUGAAUGAAAUGUGAUAAGUUGCGAAAGAGUGACUGAAGUGAUGAAGUCUUGCAUUGUGUUAUAAAAUGAAUGGUUAUAGUGCCAUGUGAAUGAGAGAUGUUGGAAUAGAAUAGAUUUGGACAGUGACGGUGAUGUUAGUUUGAAAAAUCACCAAAAAUUGUAGAAAUUGAGUUAGUGAUUGAAUGAGAUAUUGAAUUAAAGCUUAUUGAGUCUACUUUCAUAUAAAAUAAACAGAGCAAGCAAAAGAGUUGUAUAUUUGGAGAUAUUUGAAUUUUAGUCAGACAGGGUUGGAAUGAUUUCGAAAUCCCCUGUUCUGACUUUGUAAAAUCACUAAAAAUUGUAAAAGAAUAAUUAUGAGUUAUAAUUUAUAUGAUUAGAAUCCUUGAUGAGUCUAUUUUCAAAUGAAAUAAACGAAAUUAUCAUCAAAAUUCUGUACAGUGAGAUAAUUCAUUUUUAGUGAAGAAAGGUCAGAAAUGUCAAGCAGUGAAAUAGGGGAACCUUUAGAGAAUAAACUAUACUAAUUGGCUGAACCAAAAAUUCUGAAAAUUUUAUGGUAAGAAGAUAUGUGAGUCUAGUUUUGGGGAAAAUUUACGUAACUUAAUUUGGAGCUUCUUAGCUCUGGAUAAAAAUAAUUUAGUGACUGUAACUCGACUAGACAGUUUUGAAUUUAAAUAUAAGUUAAUAGUGAAAUUAUGUAUAAUGCCAUUUAAGUGUGUUAUAAGUAUCAAGGAUGUGGAAUGGAGAGGAGGAGGAGGGCAUUAAAUUAUAUGAAUGAAUUGUGUAUAAUUUGUUAUAAAUAUGAAUGCUUGAUAAAAUGGAAUGGAAUGGUAUGACAUGGAAUAGUAUGGAAUGGAAUAUAUAUAUAUAUAUAGAUAUGAAUGACUUGUGUGUGAAUGGGUCAUAUGCUCGAUCAUAAUUGAUGAACGUUGAGUUCCAUGGUAAAUGCGUAUUAGUACUAAACUAAAUGAUAAUGGAUUAUAUGUGAAUUAAAUGGAAACUUCCAUUGCUAGUGAUAUGAUUUGAAUUAAAACAACUAUUGUGGUACAGAGAAGUAUAAUGGAUUGAGAAAUUGAUUUGAAUUGUGAAUGGAGAAAUUGCGAAUUGAAUGAAAUGGAAAUGAAGCAUUGAAUUACAUGAGUAAGUAUCGAGUCUCGUAGGCUCUAUUUAUUAUGAAUAUAAUAUUUCAAUGAUAUGUUAUAAAGAAUUAUAAAAGCACGUUAGUAAUUUAAAAAUUUUAAAUUCGGAUAAAAUCUUGUAACUCAGUUUAAAUACGUAUACAAGUGUAUGUGUUCUAGUAAUGCCUCGUACCCUAUUCCGGUGUUGAAUAGGGUUUGGGGUGUUACAAUGCAACCGCGUAUGGAUUCAAAUUAUACAGGUCAAAUGUGGGUGGACGAAGUAUUAAAUGGGCAUGAUGAUCGUUGCAUGAAUAGUUUUAGGAUGCCAAAAGAUAUAUUUCACAUCUUGUUGCAUGAUUUGCAAACAAAUUAUGGAUUAAAGAAUGGGAAAGUAUCGGCGAUGGAGAAGUUAGCAUUAUCAUUAUACAUUCUUGGAAAUAGAGAAUCAAAUUCAAAUGCAACAGAGCGAUUUCAACGAUCUGGGGAAACUGUUAGUCGAAUUUUUACUGAUAUGUUGUAUAUAUUUGCUCGAAUGGGAAUAGACACGAUUAAACCCACUGAAGGUCAAUUCGAGGAAGUACCGAACCAUAUUCGACAUGUUACAAAAUAUUGGCCUCACUUUAAGGUAAUAUUUACACAAUCUUUAUAUUUUUAAAAUAUAAAUUAUUUCUAACUUUUAUCUUAUUACUUGUAUUUAUUUUAAAGGAUUGUAUUGGGGUCAUAGAUGGAACACACAUAAAAGCAUGCAUUUCGCCUUCUUGUCAAAUACCUUAUAUCGGACGGAAAGGUGAACCAACUCAAAAUAUUAUGGCAGUUUGUGACUUCAACAUGUGCUUUAUUUUUGCAUUUCUUGGUUGGGAAGGAAUAGCACAUGAUAGUAGAAUUUUUUUGCAAGCACUUAGAAAAUAAGAGUUGAAGUUUCCACACCCUCCACCAGGUUGAACUUUAAUUUUUAAUUACUUUUUACAUAAAAAUAUUAAAAUAUUAAAAUUAUUUUUAAAUUUGAUAUUAUGUUUUGCUUUUUUGUAGGAAAAUAUUAUAUUGUGGAUCCAGGAUAUCCACAAAUGGCAUGUUUUCUAGGUCUAUAUAAGGAGAACGGUAUCAUUUACCUGAUUUUCGUCGAGGUAAUCAUCAAGUAUUUGGAAAAAAAAAUCUUUAAUCAUGCCCAUUCUUCGUUAUGCUCUGUGAUUGAUCGAACAUUUGGAGUGUGAAAAAAAAUGACCAAUAUUAAGAGAUAUUCUAAGUUAUUCAUUCAACAAGCAAGUUUUAAUAGUUAUUGCAACAAUGGUUUUGCAUAAUUACAUUCAAAGACAUGCUUGGUCAAAUGAUGAGAAUUUUCGAGAAUUUAAGAAUAUACCCGACAUGCAAGUCUCUUCAAGCUAGUUUGACAGAGGUGAAUCGAGUUCUUCUAACAGAGAAAGUGACCUUGAAAUCACGAAGUUAAGAGAAACCAUUGCAACUAGUUUAAUGAAUCCAUAUUUGUAAAAACAUUUUGUAUCAUAACCUAAUUUCUAGUAAUAAUGAAACGUGUUAUGUCUUAUGUUAUUAUAAUUUUUUUUAUUAAAAAUCAUCCGUUUAGAUACUUCAAAAUUUUAUCCAAGUAUAAUGUUACUAUUUGUGAAAAUAAUAUUUAUCAUUGUUAUAAAAAAAUAUUUAACUAUAAAAAAUUAAAAAUAAUUAUCAUUUUAUCUAAUAAAUAAUUUAAAUUAAUUAUAUAUAUUUUUUGAAUAUUAAAUUAAUUAUAUAACUCAUUAAAAUAUUGAAAGAUGCAUUUUAAUAUUUUAUUAAAUGAAUUUAUAAAUUCACAUAUUUUAAUAAUUUUAAAAAAGUAAAAUAAUUUAAAAAUAUAUGAAUUCUAAUAUGAUGUCUUUAAUAGUCAUUUUUUAUUCUCACAUCACCGUUACAGUUGCGUUUGAAUCCAAACACACACUCCACCAUUGUUUCUAAUCUCAUCGCUACAGUAUCCAAUCUCACCGCUACAGUAACUAAUCUCACCGCCACCGCUGUUUUUAACCUCACCGGAGGUAAACACACUACCCAUCCAAACUAGCCCUUAGUCAGAUUUGAACUAAGUAGGUAACAUAUUUGAUGUAAUUAGGUGAAGCUUGAGCUGAUAAAUCAGCUUUGCAAAGUGUACAAGUUAUGUUUAACACGUUUCAAUGUAGUUUAGUGAAGUUAGGUAAAUGUUUCGGCGACAUUUGCUUAUUUUUUACCAGCUUGUGUCUGGUAUAUGUACUGGCAUUAAGCAUUCUUUCAAUUUUAAUGAAAAUUCAUCAGAAUUCUUCAUCUAAUGCUCUCUUAAUUCUUUGCUUUCUUUAGUUCUUCAAGGCCGAUUUUGUUUUUGUUUGCACAGCAAGUAUCAAGCCUUCAAGCUCAAGAAACUACUUGUUUCAUUCAUCUUUGUUCUUAGUUCGAACAGAGUGGACUUGAUGAAGAUAAUAUGUUAUAGGAAGAGUUUCUUUGGUCAGUCGAGCUAAACAAUCACGUAGUCUAAAAUUUCUUAUUUGAGACUUGUUAGCAUAUGUAUGAAAAGCAUCCCAUACAAUCUUUGUAUUAGUGGCAGCAACAAUUAUGGUAGCAAUAAUAGGAUCAACACAUGUCAGAAUGACAUUUUCAAUCAAUUGAUCUUGACGAAACCAAGAUAUAUGUGCUAGGUUUUCAUGGUAUUGGUGUUUUAUGGGAUAAUACAAGUGGGUUCAGGUAUAGUGCCAUCUAGAUGACCAUAAAGGUUAUGACCAUGCAUAAACAUUGAUGCUUGGGCCUUCCAAAGGGAGAAAUUAUGGCUACUCACCAGCUUGAUGGGUAGUUGGGUUAGAGGAUUAACUUGACCAACUGUGAUAUUGUUUAUAGCGUAACGAGGGAAAAGAAAAAAGGGAAAAAAAAGCUCCUUUGAGCUUUUUAGGCUCUGUUCACCAGUAAAAUGUAUUGGAGUAAUGAAAAAGUGAAUGGGUUUAUUGAGAUCUAGGUAACUAUUUAUAGAGUUACAUAACUCAUGAAACCAUAAAGAAAAGAUAAAGAAAAUUUAAAAAAUGACAUUAAAUUUGAAAUGAAAAAUAACAUAAGGAAAUUAAAAAAAAAGAUAACAAGAUCAAAAUAGAAUAAUUAUUUGUUAAAUGGUGGCAACACAGCAGCAGCAUGCAAGAUACCAAGCAUUGCAACACAGCUGUAACAUGCAAGUAACCAAGCAUUUCAUUAGCUGCAUGCUAAUGUCCAUGGUGUAACUCGGUUGAAAAGCUUUUGUAUUAGUUGACUCUCUCUUUUACAAGUUGGUUGUAAUCAUUUUUUGUUCAGCUAAAGUUUAAUCAUGUACUUAGUUUUCAGUAGUCAUUUAGGUUGUCAUUAAGCUGAUUUAACAGCUUGGACUCUUGCACAAGCAAGCUUUGUUUUUUACCAAUGUAAUUUAAACUACUUAUGUCUAGGUUUGUUAAUUAUUAAUGUAAUGAAGUUAUCUUUGCUCUCCAUCAUCCAGCAUCUGUUUUUGCUUCUGUUUUUCAUCUUUCAAACACAAAAACUUUAUUUUGAUCCUUGUUAUUAAUUGAAAACUCAACAUUAUUGUUGUGACUAAGUCAAUGGUGGUUAUUGCAGUUUGAUAAUGAGAGAAAAGAGGUAUACAAAUAUCGAAAUUCCACCGUCAAAUUUAUUGGACAAAAGGGCUAAUUAAGCCUUGGGUUAAAAGGAGUACUAAACUUCUGGGAGGGGGAGGGGAAUUAUACGUUGUCUGAUUCUCUAUGAACUUAUUCCAGCAGCAAAAUGGUGAUAGAAAAUUGUUUCUAGUUUGUGGAAUCUCUAUUCUGCCAAUACCCAGAAGUCAAACUAACUGGAUAGAGAUCAGCAGCAGAUGUUGAAGAAGUGGUCCAUGGCGCAUCACCUAACAUACUCUUUGUCUGGCUAAUAUCUGCAUCAUCAUCAUCUUCAAGUUUCCUAUGCAGCUUUUUCAUAGUUUCAACAUUCUUUUGACGACUUGAAGAGGACAUUGAAUCUGUGCAGUAUUCCUGAACUUCGGCCUUGCCUUCAAGCAUGCUCACCACUGAAGACAUUGGAGGUCUAGCUGAAGCAGUGGGAUUUGUGCAUAAUAGAGCAACAUUUAUCAUUGUCAUCACCUCGUUUUUGUCGCAAUCCGAGCCAAUCCUUGUAUCGACAAAUUCCAACAAGUUCCCAUUCUCCUUCAAAACAAGAGCCUAGAAAAAACACAAAAUUUAAUUGCCACAUUCAGUUUCAUUUCAUAAAAUAUGACGCUCAAACUCACUAAUGCAUAAGCUUUCUUUGUCAUGUGUAUAAGGUAGUUGUGUCUGGCAUAUGUAAUAUGUUCUUGACAUUUGAUGCAUAUGUGUGUUGAAUACGGAAAUGAAUAUGUUGAACACGUGUUGGAAACAAAUACUUUAGAAAAAUAAGAGUGGGAGCAACAUAGCAACAUAGUAUGAAGAUGCAUAAUGGAAGAAAUAAUGAGAACUUAAUUUACCCAUUCAAGGAGAAUGAAAGGUUCUUGCUUUGGGCGAAUUCUAGUGUUGCACCUCCCACUAACAAUUUCAAGUGCCACUAUCCCAAAACUAUAAACAUCCGCUUUCUCUGUCAAAUGGCCAUGCAAUGCAUACUCAGGAGCCAUAUAGCCACUGGAAAUUUAACAUCGUCAAUUAAAUACAGCUUUUUAUAGGUUAACAUCAAUCAAUAGUGAGAAUGAAUCUGAAAAGAGACUUACUAAGUUCCUGCAAUUCGGGUGCUAAUGUGGGUAUUAUCUUCUUCAUCAAGCUUAGCCAAACCAAAGUCGGAUAUUUUAGGGUUUAGAUUCUUAUCAAGCAACACAUUGGUGGCCUUGAUGUCUCUAUGCACAAUCUUCAACCUUGAUUCUUCAUGGAGGUAAGCUAAUCCUCUUGCUAUACCAAUGCAGAUCUUCUUUCUUGUUGGCCAGUCUAAUAUCGACUGAGAUUCUUGUGGCCCUUUUCAUUGUCAAAAUAAAAAGAGUAGCUCAGUUAUAUGUAUUCACAUACUUCUCAUUCAUGUUAGAACAUGUAGACAUUGGAUGAGGUUUGUACCAAACAAUGCACGAGCAAGGCUGUUGUUUUCCAGAUACUCGUAUAUAAGCAUCAGCUGGUUUCCUUCAAUGCAACAUCCAUACAACUUUACAAGAUGAGGGUGUUGUAGAGCUGAAAUCAUGCCAAUCUCAGUCACAAACUCACGGUUUCCUUGCUUCGAUCGAGCUGAUAGCUGCUUAACAGCAACCAUCGUGCCUUCUGCCAGAGUGCCCUGCGUUUGAAAAAAAAAAAAACCAUGAUUACCAGGUUCCAUUAUGAACAAUUUACCUGCAGAAAGUGUUGCACAUGAUUACCUUGUAGACGGGACCAAAACCACCUUCUCCAAUCUUAUUAGAAGCAUGAAAAUCGUUUGUAGCAGCUUUAAUUUGCCUUAAGGUAAAGGAAGUUGUCUGCAACUCUAUACCUUUUAGAUCUGUGGAACAUGUUAAACCUAUUAUAAGAAAGAUUUAUAAUAUAAUUUGAAUUGGACUUAUCGACACUACAUAUGUUCACUAUUUUGUGCCAAAAUCGUGAAAAAAAGGAAUGACCGGGUUUAAAUUGCGAUCACAAACGUGUUUUCAGUCGCAUAACAUAUGAUAUCAGGAUCAAUUUUGAUGAGUAUCAAUAGAAAAAAGAACUGAAAACCGCAGAAUAAAGACGGUGCAACUGUUGUAUGAAACAGAGUAUAAUGAUAUUCCGUCUAAAUACCUUGUUCCAAUGUACUCUUCCGUCUUAAACAGCCAUUCCACCAAAGGAUGCCUAAAAUCAGUAAAGCAGCAAACACUACUCCGGCCACAAUACCGACCACUGCAGCUGCUGAGAUACUGCCAGGUUUAUAUUCUGGUUCAACAACAUUAUAUAUAAGUAAGUUGCAACGAUGACAUGAACAUCUUAGUCGAAAGCAUAAUAUAUUAGAUGUGACGUAUCAACAAACGAAAGAACAGAGAUAUGGCCUAGAGAUCUGUCUAUCAGUCGAUCUUGAGGCUUAGUCCAGUUAAUAUAUAAAACCACUUCUAAGAGACGAUGCGAGGUCCGAAUCCUAGUAUCUUCUUCUGCAAUUAACUGGGAAUGAUAAGAGAAAUGAAUUGAAAACCUACUAGGAUCAAAAAUGGAUAUUGCUGAUAUUAGAGGGCCGUAAAUGCCUCUCUCGGGUAUAGAAGUUGUCCCUUUUCCGGUCCAUCGGAAACGAAUCUCUAAAGUGCCAUCGGUUACAUUUGCAUUGAUUGGUUCUACUGUUGGUAUGCCUGCCCCUCCUGUUUUUUCUUUAAUAUUGAAAUCCUUCAGCACCCGCUCUCCCUGCAAUUAUUAUCCGUUCCAUUUAACCUUACUUUCCGUGCAAGCACAUGUUGUAAAGCAACAUUUGUGUAUAUUUAUAUCGAAAAUCCAACACUCAUCCAAAUCAGGAUAACAUAUAAACCAAUUAAGCUAAACCAAAUUCUAACCUAUGGAACUUAGUGGUAACAAGAAUGAUACUAAAAAUAUACCUGAAUGUAAACAUCAAAUAUGCGUCUCCCCAAGCUGCUAUAAUUUCGAUCAUUAGUGAACUGAAUCUCAGCGAAAUGGAGGUUUACUGUGUAAGUUGCAUUGGCGAGACAGAAUACAUAGUAAGUCAAAGAGCUAGGCGCAAGCCUUGCAUUUUUGUAGAGUUGUUCAUCACCACCAUUGACAGAAACUUGUCCAUUGUCCAAAAAAUAGCUGUCGUCGGUGUUGUCAUUGCCUAGAAAAAUUCCGGUGCUGCUAAAUGCCCAGUUGGUACUUCCGUAAAAUUUUGAAGGCCCUGCCUGAUCAACAUCAGCUUCGUAAUUGAUGCCUUUAACAGUUAUUGGUCCACCUCCACAGUUUAUAUAAACAGAGUGCAAAGCUGAGGAAAAUAACAACAGUUCGGAUCAGUCGCUCGACACAAAAUUAUCUUUUUGUAUGUCUCAUUGGCCUUUGGCUACCCGAUGAUUGACUAGUGUUUCAAAUAUAAACAGAUAUUAGCAUAGAUGAAGUGUAAAAUAUAUAAAAUUUGUACCUGCUUUGCAGUUAGUUUGGCUUCUCAAACAUGGAACAAUCCCUCUGAUUAAACAAUUAAAAAGCAUAGCCAUUAAAAUCUCAGAAUUUAGUUUAAUGAUUGUUGUUGUCUUAACACUUACGAGUUACCGACUCUUGCAAUGCUUGCGAACAAGUUCCUGCAGAUCCACAAUGAACCACAAUUAUAUAUAUACAACCAUUUACAACAAAGAUCCACUAAUGGAGUUAGAUGAGAAACUUUACAAGGUUUUAGUUAUUUGACAGCUUGAUUCACCUGUGUCAUUGAAGUUGUUGUAUGAAAGAUCCCUGCAAAUAGAAUAGUUUAGAAUAUUAUUUUCAUUAAAAGUCUGCAGGUAUACUCAUAAAUAUCUCUAUUAAAAGCUUGAUAUCGGCAACAAGUCUAUUAAAGCUGAGAUUAGUAUUCAAAAUUAAAUAAGAAGUGAAUCUUACACUUUUUCGUUUGUUUUCCGUACCCAUUGAGGGACUGAUCCAGUAAAAUUGUUUCCAUUUAAGAACCUAAUAAAAUCCAAAUGAGUAUAUAAAUAAAGAAAAUGCAGUUUACACUACAACUAAAAGCCAUAUCCUUACAUAUAAUCGAAAUCAUGAAGAUUAGAAAGGUCAUCUGGAAUUUUUCCACUAAGUCUAUUAAAGCUGAGAUCUCUGCAAGAAAAUUUGUAAAACGGGUAUUAAACCACACGUAAGUCUACAAUCAAACUGAACUUGAACCUCUCAAAAGAAAGUGUAAUUACUUACAAUAUCUUUAUGGAUGUAAAUGUGUUGGUGCAAGAACAGAAUCAAGCAGACUCAGCAAGUAUCUUGUCGAGCAAGCCUUUUAACUUGCUGAGCAAACAAACAAUUUCGAGUUAAAGAAAGAAAGAAAAAGCUAAGAAAAUGGAGAGGAAAUUGAUGAACAAAAACUGAUUUCAUUCAUAAGAUGAACAAUGGCAUAAUGCCAAUACAUAAACCAAGCAAUUUGCUUGUCAAAAUCUGCAUAAUGAUACCUAAUCAUCACCUACUACAACUAAUACAUUGGGACUAUUAAAACAUUGCUUGUACACAUAAACAAGCCACCUAAACUAGUCAUUCAACACCUAAUGCAUCAAGUUGUCAUCAACUUGUCCAUUUUAAACUAGAUUAAUUAGAAUGAAACUAAAGAGAAACCUUGCUGUUACAGCAAGCAUAUGUGCUGCAGCAUGUCAUCAAGCUGCAUGCACUUCAACCACAAAAUGUAACAGCAGCAUGGUUGGCCAAUUUCCAAUACUCCUCCUUGGACUCCAUGCUGCAAAUACCAGUCAUUCAUCAAGUUUUUUGAACUUGGCAGCUCUUAGAUGCUUUGAUUCAAGCUGACCAAUUCAUUUUCUUCUUGCACAAACAGUUCGUGAGUAUAGUUGCUUGCCUUCAUUCUGCCAUUUUGGCUUGCAAUUCGACAGGCUCACACUUUGCUUACUGUCUUCAAGAGGCUUGCAACUAUACAACACGCAUUGAGCUUCCACAUGUUGCUGAGCUCACACCUUUGACAGACUCACAUCUUUGCAUAUUGUCUUCAACAGGUGUCUUCAUCAGGCUCGCACUUUGCUAAGCUUGCAGCUUUGACAUCUUGCUAAGCUUGCACAUUUGGAAAGCUCACACCUUUCCUUUAAACUCCUCCUUUAGCUUAUUCAAGCUAGUUUGGGGAUCUUAUAAGUUUGAGCCGAUAUUAUCUUUUCUACAAGCAGUCCUUAAUGACUUGCUUGUGCUUUGACAGCUUCUUUCUUUUCAACAAGCAGGGGAAGCAAAAUCAAUGGUCCCGUAAGACAUAGGCUCAUGAUACCAAUUGUUGGUGCAAGAACAGAAUCAAGCAGACUCAGCAAGUAUCUUGUCGAGCAAGCCUUUUAACUUGCUGAGCAAACAAACAAUUUCGAGUUAAAGAAAGAAAGAAAAAGCUAAGAAAAUGGAGAGGAAAUUGAUGAACAAAAACUGAUUUCAUUCAUAAGAUGAACAAUGGCAUAAUGCCAAUACAUAAACCAAGCAAUUUGCUUGUCAAAAUCUGCAUAAUGAUACCUAAUCAUCACCUACUACAACUAAUACAUUGAAACUUGAAAAACUAAGCUUGCACACUUAAACAAAGCUGACUUAACAGCUUAAUUGUCAUCAAAAUACAUCAAUCAUAAACCUAACAUAGUUCUAAAUGAACUAAAGUACAUUACAUUAACUUAAGAUUACAAGUUGAACAAAAUAGGAAUAGUUCAGCUCGUUCCAGCAGCUCCUGCAUGACUUGGUCUUGAUGGCCUGCAUGCUGUCGAGUUUGCUGCAUGCUGAACCAACUUCAUCAAAAUGUCCCAAAAGAAGCAGGUAUCUCUCCAAUGAGAUUGCAACUCCUCAACAUCCUAUAAUUCAAUCACAAAAUAAUUCCAUUGUUUUUGUUUUUGGAACUCCUUAAUAUCUCAUAACUCUAAUAUAUCUUUGCCUUAUUUCAGAUUUAUGCUUACAGUCUUUCCAAUUUAGGCAAACUGGCAUCGAUGAGUGGUUGUGUAAAAUUUGUUUCAGCUCCAUUCAAGUCACUAAUUAUUCUGUAAAACAAUACCAAGAACCAUAUACAAACAUAAAUAAGAAAUUAAGUUGUGUUUAUUUUUAUGUAAUGAAUAUUGUCACGACCUUUUAAGAUCAUUGGAGCUUACAUGUAUGUUAAGUUAUGUAAAGUAGCAUUAAUGGAUGGAAUUGGUCCACUCAAACCACUUCCCUCCAUAUAUCUGUCAUUACAAAAAUGAUAGAUUCAUUUAAUUGAUUGAUAAAACAAAAAUUCUAAUGAAUUAAAAAAAAAACUUAAAGUAUACAAAGAAAAUGUUAAAUUAAAUUCUCACAUCUUUUCAAGAUUUGUCCAAUUUCGGAAUAUGAAGUCAGGAAUUUGUCCUGUAAAAUUGUUGUCACUAAUCCGACUGUUGAGAAUACAAAAUUAUCAAAACUAUAUCAUAUAAAAUAUAUUGAAAAAUACGAAUGAUAUGUAUUAAAAGGAACACUAGAAAAUAGAAUUGCUUACAAUUCCUUCAAUGAAGUCAGACUAGCAAAGGUUUCAGGUAUUUUACCAGUAAAAUAGUUGGAACCAAGAUGUCUGAAAAAACCAAUAAAUAGAUCUUAAAUCAUUUACAUGAUAAAAAAUACUACAUAUAUAUAAUGAAAUGCAUUUCAUCUAGAUUUUUUUUUUCUUUUAAAAAAGGAAGGGUCUCUCUUACAAUUUCUCAAUUUUGGGUAGAUCCCUCAGCGCUGCAGGCAAAGUUCCUGAAAGACCAUUGUUCUCAAGGACUCUACGCAAUGUUUUUUCAAUAAAUAAAAUUAAUUAUCCAUUAGAUGUUUAUUAAAAAAUGAAAAAAAAUAUCAUUCAUAUAUAUACAUUCGAAGUUGCUAUAAUCUAACUCACAAGCUGGUGAGAUUUAUGAGAUUUGCUAGCUCUUCUGGGAUUGAACCAGUUAAUCGAUUUCCUAGAAGGGAACUGAAAUACAAUAAAUCUUUCGCAUUUAGAAACAUUAUAUAUAGUGUACGUACGAAAAAUUAUUCUAUUCACCAUAAAGUAAAACUAACACAAUACGCAUAUCUCUUGCGUGUAUUUAUGUUUCUACAACCAUAAAUAUAUAUACACAUUCGUACAUACAUACACAACAUCGAAAGACACAUAUACAUAUACAUUCACACCGAAACACCACGAAAUAUAUAUGUGUAUUCAUGUUAAACACUUGUAAAAGAAAACAAAAUCCCUUGAAGGCUUUUCGUCAAUCAAUUUAAAACACUUUGUGUAGAAGGACUGGAUACAGAGAAGAAGAAUGUCAAGAAUUAAGGAUUGGUUAAGGGGGUUCAAAGCUUCAAUAAUGGCGGCAUCCUCUUCAAAUGAUAUAUACUUUAAAUCUCUAAUUUACAUGUUUUGAAUUCAAUGAUUUUGGGCAUUUAUGUUCUACAUUAAAUUAUAAGAAUUGGUACCAAAACAUGGUUAAAUUAAAAUUCUAUAUCAAAUUAAAUUGAUUAAGUCGGAUGCACAUGAUUAAUGGAUUCACGUUUUCGUGUAUAUAUUUUGUUGAGUCAAGUUGUUAACGUGGCUGCGUUAAGUGCUCAUCAAAAGUGGCCCCUUCCAUCAACAUUAUAAUAGACUGUCACUUGCCAUAUUUGAAAUUGGCUUUAAAUGAUGUUAAUAUUGUAGAUGUAUGCAAGCCCGACUUUGAAGUCAAAUCCAUUAGAAGUAAUUUAUCUUGAAAAUUGAAUUGAAUCAAACAAUCAGAUCUUUUGGAUUGUGAAGAUUAAAUUGGGAGCAUUGAAGACAUAUUUUCAAAAUAGUUCAUUUUAUAUUGACUUUAUUAUUAUAUUAUUUUUUACUUUUUUGAUUUCUCUAUAAUAGAGAUUAAAUUCUAAUUGUAUUAUAGUAUGUUCUUGAGAACUCCUAUAUAAUUAAGAGACUUGUAUAGAUUUUGUACAGUGAUUAAGAGCACUUAAUUGUUUAUUAAGAAAUAUAUUUUAGAAGUACUUUUGAGAGAGUAAACAAUUUAGGUUUAUUGCCUAAGUUCUCAUGAACGUGAGUGAUUUAGAUUUUUAGAUUUAAAAGUGAGAUUGUUAUACCGAGGAUGUGGUAGAACUCGAGUCACUUAUUGUAUCAGGAAUUAAAGAUAAGUGGAUUUACUCAUUUAACUAAACUCCACAAAAGUAAGGAAAUCGAACUACGCUAACACUCUUUUGUGUCAUUUGUUUAUUCUUUAAUUUUAAUUUAUUCAUCACAACCACAAUCAAAGUGACUACUGCAACCAAACAUUUCCAUUCAAGCAAUUAAUUUCUAAGCAAUUAGUCACUGUUAAAUUUAACAUAUGUUAUGGUUGCUUUCUAAAUUACAUGUUUCAUUAGAUAGCAACUAAUAUGGGUGUAGCAUAUUUACUUAUUUUUAACAUAAGCUAAUUAAUCAAGAAUUUAGGUAAAGAAGAUUUUUCAUAUAUUCAUUAUCUUAUUCGCUCCUUUAUGCAUAUGAAAUUAUAUAUAAAGUUCUCAAUGGGAUUUAUGUUAUAUUUGCCAUUGAGUUAUUGUUUUACAUAUGCAUGGUAGUCAAAGAAAUUUAUUAUAAUUAAAAUGCUUUAAUAUUUUCGACUUAAUACUUAUAUUUUAGAAAUAUAUAAUUUUAAAAUAAGAUAGUGAAAAUUAUAGUUAAUUUAUUUUAACGAAAUUCAAUAAUUUAGAUCAUUGUGAAAGUGACCUAAAUUGUUAACUAUUAUCGUCGUAAAUUACAUAAAAGAUUAAAUAGUCUUGAUUUUGGUUUUAAAAUGGAGAUUCGUACUAGCUUAAAAGGGAAGUCACUUACUAUUAAUUGUAUUUCUUUCUAUUUUUUUGUGUAAUGAAUAUUUAUAGGUAACAUGUAGGUAGCGCAAAAAUGUUAGGCUUAAAUGUAAUACCAAUACAUAUAAUGAGUGAAUACUUGAUAUUUUGGAGUUUAUCCAAAGGAAAACUUAGGUGAUAUCAGUAAGCGAGGACUAUACAGUUCCUAUUACCUACCUUAGAUUCUCUUGCAUCUGGAAUGAUGAUUUUUAAUGGAUUGAAUUUCUUAUAAUGGUAUCAAAGGGUUCAACUUUCAUCUGAUAUACUGGAUCUUGACAUGGCUUUAUUAAGUGAGAAACUUCCGAAAGUUACUAUAGAAUUGCAGAGGAGGUGGAAUAUUCAAAAGCCUGGAUAAGGUCGAACUGACUUAGUAUUACGUUUAUGAGAAUGACUAUUGUUGUGAAUAUCAAGAUUUCUUUUCCUUAAAUUGACAUAAUCUCGAAUUUUCUAAAAUCCGUAGAGUUGCAUUUUAAACAUGCUAGUAAGUCUCUUAUUGGCCUUUUGAUGGUUGAAUUCAACAACAUGAUGGUCAUAAAGGAAUUCAACAACAUGUAUUGGACAUGAAUGAAAAAGUUGUAAAACUUAAAACUUUUAAGGGUGAAUGUGGAUAGAUUCUUUUUGGUGCUUUUCAUCCUUAAUUCACUUCCUCAGUUUUCUCCAUUCAAGAUUUAUUAUAACACCAUUAGUGAGCAGCGUAACUUGAAUGAGAUGACUAGUAAGUACGUUUAGUAAUAAGUGAGAAUGAGGUAGAAUGAACAACAUUUAACUCUAGUUGCAACUUGUAUAUGGAGCUACGAAUAAAAAAAGAAAGAUAAAUGUACUAAAGGAAAUAACUUUCCGCUAAAGAAGGUAAGUGGAUGUGGAAAAGUUACCAGAGUUAUGAUGGGAAAUUUAUUGUCAAGUAAUAUUUCUGUGACAAAACAUUAAGACAUGUUAAGAAGGAUUGAUUUUAGAGACAUUACUCACAUCCCCAAUCUAAUUUGGGGAUUCCUUACAACCAAUAAAUUGAAUGAAAGUGAGAAAUUCAUUCAUAUGGGAACCAUCCCAAGGUGGAAGUGAUAGUUGUUGACAUCUAUUCCUUACACUUUGUAUGUACUUUGGAUUUCUAAAAUUUUAGUUUCAAUUACUUCUUGGUUGUGAAAGAUUAAGUCUGAUGUUUAAUUCAAUAAUAGUUGGUUUUUGUGUUUUAUACGAUAGCUUAUAUAAAAUUUCUUUGAACCGUGCAUUUGCACAAGAUUAAGUAACCUUGCAUUCAAAUAUUGGUUCAAAAUUGGUUUAAUUAACGAACAUUCUUCACUCUUCUAGCAUAGAAGGUUCUCUAGGGAAAGAAUUGAAAGAUUAGUGAAUAAUGAAAAUUUUUAGAAUCUAGACUUUACUGUAUUUUUAAGUAUGUUUGAAUUGCAUUAAAAGAAAACGAGUUAAACUAUAAAGAAAAGAUUCACAAAAAGUAACGAGCUCAGGGAUAGCUAAGGGGGCUGGCAGGUAUCAGAUCCCUUAAAAUAGAAAAUUUUUCAUUUAGACACCUUUAAAAUUUAUAAAAAUUUAAAUUAAUAAAUGUAAAAUUACACUUUGACUCUCCAAAAUGAUAAAGACUUGAUUAUUGACCAAUGUAUUAACGGUAUUUCGAGUGUUAAGAUGGUGUAUGUUUGUAGAGAUGAGAAUAGGAGAGUUGAUGCCCUUGCUACCAUCAGGCGGUGAGAAAUUCAUUGCUUGUUGUAUGGUGGUAGGCUAGUGCCCGUGCUUUUUAAUUAACUCUACCUUCAAUAAAAUUUUAUGAUUGAUUGAGCAAAUAGAGAUUGAGAAAUUUAAAGCUUCAAUCAUGACUGCAUCCUCCUCAAAUGCUAUAUCUCUAAAUCUCUACUUUAAUUUCUUAACAUGCGUUGAAUUUAAUGAUCUGUAUUUUCUGCAUUAAAUUGAUUGUUUCAAUUCAUACAACCACGAAAGAUAUACAUAAAGGAGAAGCAAAUAAACAUACAUCUUAAUGAGUCGCGUAGAAGAACCCCACCCCCGAGGAAUAGUGCCAUUAAGAUAGUUUCGAGUUAGAUCACUGUAACAAUAGAUUUAAAACAAUAAAUUAGUAGAUAUAUAGUUAAUUAAUUGAUGCAAAGUUAAUUAAUUGCUUACAUUUCUUGCAGAAAAGGGAGACUUGUCAAGUUUAGUGGGAGAGUACCCGAAAGGCCUUGUCUCUUGAGUAGUCUGAUAGAAAAACCAAGUUAGUUUCUUUUAGUUAAUAGGUACUUCUAUGCACCAAUUAGAAAUUAAACAAUUAUAAUAUGCAAAUUUAAAUUUCAAAAAGAAAAUAUUUAUCCAGAAUUUUAUAGUUAAAUUUAAAAUUUUUAAAGUUAAAUUGAAACAUAUUUUUAUAUAUUAUUUUUAAUUAAAAUUAAAAUUAAAAUAAAUUUUAAAAAGUUAAUUUAUAGAAUAUAAUAAAAAGAGUCCAUAUAUGCCUUUAUAUCUUAUGUAAUACCAUUGUUUUCUAAGAUUCAGAUGAUAUCUUGUGGGUUGGACCUACAUGCAUGUCGGCUGGUAAGUGGAGUGAUGUUAAACGCUCUCUGUGCAUCAUCCACAACUUUUAUUAAACAUAUUAAUAAAGUAUAAAAUUAAACUUUCUAUAAUCUUAUAUUUAAGUUUAUUAAUUUCUUCAUUUUUCAAAUAAUUUAACAUAUAUAAUAUCAAAUCUUAAGCAUCAUCCCAUAUUCAAGUUAAAAUACUCUUCACUUCUUAAUAAUAAAUUGUAGAUUAAAUGCUUAUUAAAUCAUAUAUAAUUCAUAAAUAAAAUCUAACAAGUUUAGACGUAACUCAUGGUAGAUAAAUUUUCAUUAUAAAAUUAUAUGUAUAUAUAUACACUUACAUGUGGAUAACAUGACAGGUGGUAUUGUUGUUGAAGGAACAAUCGCAUGUAACAUUAUCAACAUAAGAGUCACCAAACGAGGGUGAAGGUUGGUCCAACCGACCAUUGCCUUGAAUGCAUGUUUCAUUAAAGUUCCAGUUUGUCUUCCCUAAUGUUCUACCAAUACUUUCCAAAGCUUCCACUGUAACAACAAAAAUGAAAGUGUGGAAUUUACUAAAAGAAUUAAUUAACCAAAUUGAUAAAGCUUCGAAGCUUAAUAUUAUGGAUUACCUUCAGCAUUUGGAAGUGAAGCUUCGUUUGAAAGCGUUGUAAGGCAACAAACUAUGAAUAUUGACCCAAAAACAAGUCGAAGAAACAACAUAUUGGAAUGUUUUUGGAGCGGAUUCAAGAGUUUUUUUUUUUUUUUUGGCUUGAUAUGAAUGAACAAAAAAUGGGUUGCAAGAUUGGGUUUCAUAAAUAUAUUGGAUUAUGAGAGUUGGAAUUUUCUUUGAGAUGAUUGAAAAUAAAAGAAAGUUGGAAGUUUCCUAUCUUUUUG